AGUGAACGCUGGCGGUAGGCCUAACACAUGCAAGUCGAACGGCAGCACAGUAAGAGCUUGCUCUUACGGGUGGCGAGUGGCGGACGGGUGAGGAAUACAUCGGAAUCUACUUUUUCGUGGGGGAUAACGUAGGGAAACUUACGCUAAUACCGCAUACGACCUACGGGUGAAAGCAGGGGAUCUUCGGACCUUGCGCGAUUGAAUGAGCCGAUGUCGGAUUAGCUAGUUGGCGGGGUAAAGGCCCACCAAGGCGACGAUCCGUAGCUGGUCUGAGAGGAUGAUCAGCCACACUGGAACUGAGACACGGUCCAGACUCCUACGGGAGGCAGCAGUGGGGAAUAUUGGACAAAGGGCGCAAGCCUGAUCCAGCCAUACCGCGUGGGUGAAGAAGGCCUUCGGGUUGUAAAGCCCUUUUGUUGGGAAAGAAAGGCAGCAGGUUAAUACCCCGCUGUUCUGACGGUACCCAAAGAGUAAGCACCGGCUAACUUCGUG
rnacentral:rRNA from 1 species